rnacentral:tRNA from 1 species
GCGCCCGUAGCGCAAUUGGAUAGAGCGACUGGCUUCGAACCAGUAGGUUGCAAGUUCGAGUCUUGCCGGGCGCGCCA